rnacentral:rRNA from 1 species
UCUAGAAAUUUGCACAAUCAACGAAAGUUGGAUGCAGCGACGCCACGUGGAGGAUGAAGCCUUUCGAGGCGUAAACUCCUGUCAGAGGGGAAGAAGGUGCGGGUGCUAAUAUCACCCGUUACUUGACGGUACCCUCAGAGGAAGCUCCGGCUAACUACGUGCCAGCAGCCGCGGUAAUACGUAGGGAGCGAGCGUUGUUCGGAUUUACUGGGCGUAAAGAGCGCGUAGGCGGGUAGGUAAGUCGAUUGUGAAAUCCUCUGGCUCAACCAGAGAAUUGCAGUCGAAACUACCUACCUUGAGUCUAGCAGAGGGAAUCGGAAUCACAAGUGUAGCGGUGAAAUGCGUAGAUAUUUGUGAGAACACCAGUGGCGAAGGCGGAUUCCUGGGCUAGUACUGACGCUGAGGUGCGAAAGCGUGGGGAGCAAACAGG